UUAGAGUUUGAUCCUGGCUCAAGACGAACGCUGGCGGCGUGCCUAAUACAUGCAAGUAGAACGCUGAAGAGAGGAGCUUGCUCUUCUUGAAUGAGUUGCGAACGGGUGAGUAACGCGUAGGUAACCUGCCUUGUAGCGGGGGAUAACUAUUGGAAACGAUAGCUAAUACCGCAUAACGGUGGGUGACACAUGUCAUUUAUUUGAGAGGGGCAAUUGCUCCACUACAAGAUGGACCUGCGUUGUAUUAGCUAGUAGGUGAGGUAACGGCUCACCUAGGCGACGAUACAUAGCCGACCUGAGAGGGUGAUCGGCCACACUGGGACUGAGACACGGCCCAGACUCCUACGGGAGGCAGCAGUAGGGAAUCUUCGGCAAUGGGGGCAACCCUGACCGAGCAACGCCGCGUGAGUGAAGAAGGUUUUCGGAUCGUAAAGCUCUGUUGUAAGUCAAGAACGAGUGUGAGAGUGGAAAGUUCACACUGUGACGGUAGCUUACCAGAAAGGGACGGCUAACUACGUGCCAGCAGCCGCGGUAAUACGUAGGUCCCGAGCGUUGUCCGGAUUUAUUGGGCGUAAAGCGAGCGCAGGCGGUUUGAUAAGUCUGAAGUUAAAGGCUGUGGCUCAACCAUAGUUCGCUUUGGAAACUGUCAAACUUGAGUGCAGAAGGGGAGAGUGGAAUUCCAUGUGUAGCGGUGAAAUGCGUAGAUAUAUGGAGGAACACCGGUGGCGAAAGCGGCUCUCUGGUCUGUAACUGACGCUGAGGCUCGAAAGCGUGGGGAGCGAACAGGAUUAGAUACCCUGGUAGUCCACGCCGUAAACGAUGAGUGCUAGGUGUUGGAUCCUUUCCGGGAUUCAGUGCCGCAGCUAACGCAUUAAGCACUCCGCCUGGGGAGUACGACCGCAAGGUUGAAACUCAAAGGAAUUGACGGGGGCCCGCACAAGCGGUGGAGCAUGUGGUUUAAUUCGAAGCAACGCGAAGAACCUUACCAGGUCUUGACAUCCCGAUGCUAUUUCUAGAGAUAGAAAGUUACUUCGGUACAUCGGUGACAGGUGGUGCAUGGUUGUCGUCAGCUCGUGUCGUGAGAUGUUGGGUUAAGUCCCGCAACGAGCGCAACCCCUAUUGUUAGUUGCCAUCAUUCAGUUGGGCACUCUAGCGAGACUGCCGGUAAUAAACCGGAGGAAGGUGGGGAUGACGUCAAAUCAUCAUGCCCCUUAUGACCUGGGCUACACACGUGCUACAAUGGUUGGUACAACGAGUUGCGAGUCGGUGACGGCAAGCUAAUCUCUUAAAGCCAAUCUCAGUUCGGAUUGUAGGCUGCAACUCGCCUACAUGAAGUCGGAAUCGCUAGUAAUCGCGGAUCAGCACGCCGCGGUGAAUACGUUCCCGGGCCUUGCACA
rnacentral:rRNA from 1 species